rnacentral:rRNA from 1 species
CCUACGGGUGGCAGCAGUGAGGAAUAUUGGUCAAUGGGCGCGAGCCUGAACCAGCCAAGUCGCGUGAGGGAAGACGGUCCUAUGGAUUGUAAACUUCUUUUGUCGGGGAACAAAGGCGGAGACGCGUCUCCGGAUGAGUGUACCCGAAGAAAAAGCAUCGGCUAACUCCGUGCCAGCAGCCGCGGUAAUACGGAGGAUGCGAGCGUUAUCCGGAUUUAUUGGGUUUAAAGGGUGCGCAGGCGGGAGAUCAAGUCAGCGGUGAAAGUCUGUGGCUCAACCAUAGAAUUGCCGUUGAAACUGGGAGGCUUGAGUAUGUUUGAGGCAGGCGGAAUGCGUGGUGUAGCGGUGAAAUGCUUAGAUAUCACGCAGAACCCCGAUUGCGAAGGCAGCCUGCCAAGCCAUGACUGACGCUGAUGCACGAAAGCGUGGGGAUCAAACAGGAUUAGAUACCCCUGUAGUC